rnacentral:rRNA from 1 species
CCCUUAGAUGUUCGGAGCUGUACGCGCGCUACACUGAAGGAAGCAGCGUGUUAGUGCACCUGGCUUGAAAGAGCUGGGUAAUCCGGUGAAUGUCCUUCGUGAUUGGGAUAGGGACUUGUAAUUAUUUCCCUUGAACGAGGAAUACCUAGUAAGUGCGAGUCAUCAGCUUGCGCUGACUUACGUCCCUGCCCCUUGUACACACCGCUCGUCGCUACUACUGAUUGGAUGUUUAAGCGAGGUUCUCGAACUGCUAGCGACUUAGCUUCGGUGAGGUCGCAGUGUGGGAAGUGAACCGAGCUUUGGUGUCUAGAGGAAGUAAAAGUCGUAACA